rnacentral:rRNA from 1 species
UACGUAGGGUCCGAGCGUUGUCCGGAAUUAUUGGGCGUAAAGGGCUCGUAGGCGGUUCGUCACGUCGGGAGUGAAAACUCGGAGCUUAACUCCGAGCCUGCUUCCGAUACGGGCAGACUAGAGGUAGGCAGGGGAGAGUGGAAUUCCUGGUGUAGCGGUGAAAUGCGCAGAUAUCAGGAAGAACACCCGUGGCGAAAGGCGGCUCUCUGGAACGCAACUGACGCUGAGACGCGAAAAGCGUGGGGGAGCAAACAGG